rnacentral:lncRNA from 1 species
UUUCCAGGCAAGAGUACUGGAGUGGGUUGCCAUUGCCUUCUCCGUCUACCCCUAAGAUGUGCCUCCUAAAAUUUGUGUUGUCUGUUUGUGAUUGGGACCAUACAGCAAUUCCAGAGACAGUGUGUGUACAUAUAUAUAUAUAUAUCUACCUGUAUGAGUCCCAAGGCAGCUGUGACAUGGACUGAAAUGAACUGGUCAGUGAAUAUCAAACUGAACAAGUGUACAUCUGAGUGAUCCUGGACAUGUCUGUGUGUGCAUGUGUCUGUCAGUCUGGGGAGCAUAAAGAACAGUGACCUCUGUGCUGAUGGAGACAUCUGUCAGGGGCUGAGAUAUAUACCUCUCUGCUCCCCCAACCCAGCCAUGGAUAAGUAGAUACCCUGAUAAACCCCUCUCUACACACCUGCAUUCAUGAGAAUUUGAUAGUUAACAGAUAACCUUUCCUGCAUAUAGUAAUACACGUGCGUGUUAAUAGGAGUCACAUGGUGAUUGGAUACAUUGGUGAGAAUGCUAAGAUGGUAGGAUUUGGAACCUCUUAAGCAGCCAGUGGACCUUCCAGUUCGUCUCAAAAGCAUCUGCAGAAGUAGUCACCUUUGUGAUCUCUGUAAAGAGCUGGGUCUUACUGUGGACAAAGCCCCAUCAUUAAGCUGUGCAUGUUUUUCUCGGGCAGCAACAGAAACAUGAGGUCAGUCCAGCCUGGGGCAGUUUCUCUCCAAGAGAAGAUGGAGGAAGGACAGCUAAGUGACUGGAAAUUUGACUUGCCUUCAUGUCAAGAGAUACCUGCACCUUUUGGAAACAACAAACCCUUUGUGGUACCUCAGUGGGAUCAUCAGUGGGGCAUGGCCCUCUCCUGGAUGACAAACAGGAAUUAAUACACAUGGGCAGAAGAGAAAUGAGUCCGGCUGCUCUUAAGGCUUUUGUGGGAAAGCAGACAUCCUCAGUGGCUCUUUAAGAAAAAUGGACGGGGUCAGCCCAGUUGCUCACUGUGGACCAUUAGCUGUGCCCUGAUGAUAACAGACUGAGGGGUCCUCAUACCCUUGGCCUGGAGCUGAGAUUUGGGGAUUAGCAUAGAGAUGGCUUCCCAACCAUUCUUUUUGAAUCUCAAUGUACAGCUAUGGCCCAGGGAUGCUAUGAACUGUAAGAUAAAAUGAUGCAUUUUCUUGGAAUGCCUACUUUAGAUUUAAGGAGUAAAUGUAUAUUAAAAUAAACACAAAUAUUUUAAUGUGGGGUUAACUCGAAUGGACAUGGAGUUUAGUGUGACACUUCAAAGAAAUUUCGCUUUUGUGAUGAGUUCCAUUGGAGCUAUGCUUCAGACCGCAGUGGCGAGCAAUCCCUUCAUCCCUUCGUUCUGGCUUUGGGCCUUCUCAAAUAAAACACUUCCAGAAAUGAGCCAACCUAUUCAUCCCACUCUUCCAUCUUUUAAUGUGUAUUUAUUUGGCUGCAUCAGGUCUUAGUUGGGGCAUUCAGGAUCUUCACUGCAGCCGUGGCCUCUCUAGUUGUGACGUAGAGCGCUCAGUAGCUGUGGUCCUUAGGCUUAGUUGCUCCGCGGUAUGUGGGAUCUUUGUUCCCUGAUCAGGAACUUCUGCAAACACCAUCCUUACUUUGUGUUGAACCCACAGUAGUAGACAGUAGUCUACUCUGAGACAAGUGGUACUGAGUGGAAUCCGUGCUGAAUGGACGGUGGGAACCCUGAGAUUAUUCUCCAGGCCUAUCCCUUUGUUGCUGGACUUCAGGCACAAAGCUCCCCCUUGCCCCAAACUCACUAUCCUCCUCUGUUAAAUGGGGUUGAUGAUAUCUGCCUGUCUGAGCCUUUGUGAGCAUUCACUGAGACAGAGAGAGGAGCUUUGCUUGUCAGUAGUCUUGUACCUGGGAUUAAAGCAGUAUUAGAAUGCAGAAUCAGCACCAAUCACUUUUCUUUUAUCUUUUUAAUAUUUAUUGAUUUGUCUGUACCAGAUUAUUUAGUUGCGGGGUGCAGGAUCUUGGUUGCCACCUAUGGGAUCUUUCAGUUGUGGCAUGCAAGAUCUAAUUCCCUGACCAGAGAUCAAACCCAGGCCCCCUGCAUUGGGAGCAGGAAACCUUACCUGCUGGAUCCCCAGGGAAGCGCCAAUUUCUGAUGGCAGGUACAUCAUCAUCAUAAGGGCAUGUGAAAGGACUACGUGUUAUAAAAUGUCCCACCAUGUGAAACAGAAUUCUUGUCAUUAUUGAGCACCCGCUAACUGAAUUAAGGUCAGGCACGGAGACUACUCUGUGGAAGUACAAGAGGACUCUGAUCUAAGGAAAUCCAUGUCUAACUGAGAAAAGUAGACAAAUGUCACAAUGGGCAAGCAGUAGCUAGACUGUGCAGGUGAACUGUCUGUUCAGACUCUAUAAUAAAAAAACAGGACUAUCACUGAAUGGUUAUGAGUGUUUAGUAUCUUCUAGGCAUUGUCCUAAGGACGUUGCUGCUAAGUCGCUUCAGUCGUGUCCGACUCUGUGCGACCCCAUANNNNNNNNNNNNNNNNNNNNNNNNNNNNNNNNNNNNNNNNNNNNNNNNNNNNNNNNNNNNNNNNNNNNNNNNNNNNNNNNNNNNNNNNNNNNNNNNNNNCCGACUCUUUGCGACCCCAUGAACCGCAGCACAUCAGGCCUCCCUGUCCAAAUAAGGGUAAAAGGUUUGCAUCGCCAGAGAAGAGAAAAGUCAACUUUUGUACAGUCAAACUGUGAGACACUUUAAAUUGGUAAAAGUGAAU